GCAAGCUGAGGGAGCCGGCUCCGGCCUCGGCCAGCCCAGGAAGGGGUCCCCACAGUGCAGCGGCGGGCUGAAGGGCUUCUCAAGUGCCGCUGAAGUGGGAGCCCAGGCAGAGGAGGGGCCGAGAGUGAGCGAGCGAGGGCUGCGAGGACUGCCAGCAUGCCGUCACCUCUCACCACAGGUGUAAGCCACAGCACCUGGCCUACCUUGAACUUUUUUUUAACCUAAAGAGGAUAAUGCUGGUCUCACAAAAUGGAUUGGGAAAUGCCACACCUCUACUUUCUGAAAGAGUUUACAUAAGGAGUUUGAGACCAGCUUGGGCAACAGAGCGAGACCCCGUGUCUACAAAAAAAAAAAAAAAAAAAAAGUCGAGCGACAAUAAGUAAAAAAAAAAAGUAAGGUAAGAACAAGAUGACGUUUUGUGCAAGGUGAGUA